ACCAACGGAUUCCCUCCAGUCUUCCACAGGAGAGACUCUCAAAGCAAGAAUUUCAGGACCAUCAGAAAGAGAAUCACCUGGGGAGCACUGCAGGUGCCCAUACUCCACUUUAAAUGAAAUCACUGAGUAGAGGCCAGGGAUGUACACAACCUCCUAGGUGAUUUGAAAAACACCAAAGUCUGAAAUCCGUACUUCAAAGACAAGUCUUCCAUCUACCGGGAAACAGGAAAACACAAGUCAGGCGUGGAAAUACGACGCGGGUAGAGGGCAAUUCCAUAUGGUGAAGAGACAUAGAGGCCUCGGCCAAGAACCAGAAUGUCAACAAAGAAGCGGUUAGAUGCAGAAACUGAGGGUGGAAGAAGGAAACAGGGAAGGAAGAUGAAACAGAGAAUCAAAAACGAGUCUCGGAAUCCCCACCGCCUCAUCUCCUGGCACUUAAGAAAAGUUACUGGAGACGACCUGAACAGAAAAGAGUGAGCGUCAUCUGAAAGAGAUCCCCACGGACCUGAUUUUGCUUCCAAGCCAGACCAAAAUGGGACUUCGAAGUUUCAUCUCUGAUUUCCCAACAGUCUAAUUUCUUUCUAGCGGAAGGAACAACAGAAGGAAACCAGAGGACGUGAGGAGUAAAGAUAAAUCAAGCUGUUGCCACUCAGAAUGGGAUACAUCUGAGUCUCGAGCAGUAAAAAUAGUCCUUUGAAAAUUCGUGCGGAUAGGUCACCAGCAAGUCAUUUAUUUUUUAUAUUUAUAUACUGUGUGAAUUGACGACGACCAAUCAUUUUCAAAGUUAUAGUCAUCCACAGCUCAAAUUCUGCUCUACCCCUGAAUAUCUCUUAUGUGCCAGGUGCUGCGUAUAUAUUUACUUAUAAUAACUUCCAAAGAUCAGAACUGUCAUCUUUUUAUAGAUGGGGAAGCUAAGGCUCAAAGAAGUUGAAGAAUUUGUACAAGGUCAUACAGUCAGGAAGUAAUAAAACUGAGAAUGUAAGCCAGAUUUGGGUGCCUCCCAAAGUCCCCUUCUCUUUCCAUGAUAAGACCUACCCUUGACCGGAAGAGUUUAACCUGACUAGUAAAAUGGACUGCUCCCUCAGGCCCUAAGAGUCCAGACACAGUGAUUCCCGGACAUUCAGGAGUGGAGAAAACGACAAUCCAAACAAGCAGUAACUUCCGCCAAAGAGCAGGUAUUCUCCAAGAGGAAACAAUCAACCGGCCUCGAGUUCUUUUCCAUUUCCAAUGUAUUAUGUGGGCUUCUAGCA
ensembl:lncRNA